GCCAACAUAUGACAUGGCAUAGGGAAAAGUUCAGGAUGAGAAGCUCAGCGGCCAGAAGCCGGAGGCAGCAGAGACAGGGUGAGCACAAAGGACAGAGGACUGUGUGAGAACAUAGAGAGAUGGCAGCCAUCUGCAAGCUGGGAAGACAGCCCCACUAGGAGCUGACAGACCACACCAUGCCCUUAGGUUUUCCAGCACCCAGAGCAGUGGAGGAAAAGUGUGAGUUCUUCACAGUGCUCACAGCUGAACAUAAAGCUGAUGUUAUGGGGGCUCCAGUGAACAAGGAAGCCUUCUCUGGGACCUACAGCAGCCCUACAACCUGGCAUUGCAGUUUGAGGCCUGGCCCUGCAAGGCUUCCAAAGCUCGCUCCAGCCCCACCGAUGGCAGCCUUUCAUACGAGUAGACUGUGCUGCACACUGUGAUAUAUUUUGGGAACCACUAGUGAUGAAUUAAAAUAUAACCCCCAACUGUUUGACCCUUUUCCCAUUGACA